UGGGGAAUUUUGGACAAUGGGGGCAACCCUGAUCCAGCAAUGCCGCGUGUGUGAAGAAGGCCUUCGGGUUGUAAAGCACUUUUGUCCGGAAAGAAAACGCCGUGGUUAAUACCCGUGGCGGAUGACGGUACCGGAAGAAUAAGCACCGGCUAACUACGUGCCAGCAGCCGCGGUAAUACGUAGGGUGCAAGCGUUAAUCGGAAUUACUGGGCGUAAAGCGUGCGCAGGCGGUCCGCUAAGACAGAUGUGAAAUCCCCGGGCUUAACCUGGGAACUGCAUUUGUGACUGGCGGGCUAGAGUAUGGCAGAGGGGGGUAGAAUUCCACGUGUAGCAGUGAAAUGCGUAGAGAUGUGGAGGAAUACCGAUGGCGAAGGCAGCCCCCUGGGCCAAUACUGACGCUCAUGCACGAAAGCGUGGGGAGCAAACAGGAUUAGAUACCCUGGUAGUCCACGCCCUAAACGAUGUCAACUAGUUGUCGGGUCUUCAUUGACUUGGUAACGUAGCUAACGCGUGAAGUUGACCGCCUGGGGAGUACGGUC
rnacentral:rRNA from 1 species